ACCUCGAAGAAGAAGAAGAAGAAGCAGAAGCAGAAGAAACACGCGGAAGAAAAAAUACGCGGGAACAAGAAGAAAUUCGCGGGAAAAGGAGGAAGAAGAAGAAGAAAAACGCGGGAUAUGCGCCAUUUCUUUAAAGCCCGUGGACCACGUUGGAUUGAAAGUGCUGAAUGUUGUUGCGUUAAAGUUGGUACGCAACUCGCCAUAAAAUCAAAAGACGAAGAAGAAUGGUUGAAUUUGAUCUCAUUUUGACAAACGCGUUUAACGAAUGUGAAAUUGUCACCGGAAUGAAGUCAGAGCAAAGCUGAAGAGAACAAAGAGAGGAGAUGGAGAACAAACUGGAAGAACCACAAACCAAUGAAAUAAGAGAGACAGUGAAACGCACAAGAUGCAACAGCAUGGGGCAUAUAAAACCAGAAUUCUCUCAUGAUCCAGUCAAACCUGAGUCUCAUUCUGAUGUACCAGAGACAGCUCAAGAUGAGAAAACCAAGAACAUUAAUUAUCAGCGCUGAUGUCUUCAACCAGUUCUGUUCCUGCUGUUUCAAAGUCUCUGUUAUCUUUCCAGCUGACAAAAAAAAACAAUGUCACAAUGGUUAGGCUCAUCUUGCUCCACCUUAAAUCAUGACUGAUUCUGAAAACCCUGUGAAAUUUUCCUUUAGCGGUAAUAUGCGCACUGAUGAUGCCUGUGGUUCUGCAGCAUCUACAAUGAUAGGAUGCAUCUUUGUUUUUCAGACUCUGUUUAUAUCUGCUGUUUACAUCCAAUUCAGGUGAUCACAAAUGACUCAUUAUACAACUGACCACUUGUGAUUGAAUCAGCUGAGACCAUGCAGUGCAAAUAGGCUUUUUGUAAUCCAUAAUUUUAUGACUUCUGUUCAUGUUUAUUUAAUUUAUUUUGGUCCAUAAUCUGAAAAACAAGGCCAUAAGAUAAAACAAAAAGAUGUAUAUAUAAUCGUCUAAUUAACACUAGCACAUCUCAACUCUUAAUUUCAAAAUUCAACAGUUUAUCAACAGCUCCUUAAUAAAUAAUUCAAUAUAACCUUU